UAGGGAAUAUUGGACAAUGGAGGCAACUCUGAUCCAGCAACGCCGCGUGAAUGAAGAAGGUUUUCGGAUUGUAAAGUUCUUUUAUAUGGGACGAAAAAAAUGACGGUACCAUAUGAAUAAGCCCCGGCAAACUACGUGCCAGCAGCCGCGGUAAUACGUAGGGGGCAAGCGUUGUCCGGAAUGACUGGGCGUAAAGGGUGUGUAGGCGGUUUUAUGCGUCCAAUGUGAAAGCCCCGGGCUCAACUCGGGAACUGCAUUGGAUACGGUAAAACUAGAGUGUGGGAGAGGAUUAUGGAAUUCCUAGUGUAGCGGUAGAAUGCGUAGAUAUUAGGAGGAACAUCAGAGGCGAAGGCGGUAAUCUGGACCAUAACUGACGCUAAAACACGAAAGCGUGGGGAGCAAACA
rnacentral:rRNA from 1 species